CGGGGGGAGCAAGCGUUGUUCGGAUUUACUGGGCGUAAAGGGCGCGUAGGCGGCGCAACAAGUCACUUGUGAAAUCUCCGGGCUUAACCCGGAGCGGCCAAGUGAUACUGUCGUGCUAGAGUGCGGAAGGGGCUACUGGAAUUCUCGGUGUAGCGGUGAAAUGCGUAGAUAUCGAGAGGAACACCUGCGGCGAAGGCGGGUAGCUGGGCCGACACUGACGCUGAUGCGCGAAAGCCAGGGGAGCGAACGGGAUUAGAUACCCCGGUAGUCCUGGCCUUAAACGAUGGAUACUUGGUGUCCGGGGUUACAUAGUCCCCGGGUACCGGCGCUAACGCAUUAAGUAUCCCGCCUGGGGAGUACGGUCGCAAGACUG
rnacentral:rRNA from 1 species